rnacentral:ncRNA from 1 species
CCUAUCGUUCCAUCCGACGGUUCUCCUUCGGGGGAUCAAAAGGGAAUGCGGUGCGGGUGACAUCCCAAUGCCGCGGCUGUCCCCGCAACUGUAAGCGGCGAGCCUCUCGUCAAUUUGCCACUGGACCGUCAGGCCCGGGAAGGCGGCGACAGGCGACGACCCGCGAGCCAGGAGACCUGCCGUCAGUCGUGGUCACACG